AUUAUUGACUAGGGUUUGAAUUGAGCUUUGGGCUAUAUUUUCUUCUAACAUCCUUUCAUGACUUGUACAUAUAAUUAUGUAUGCACCCUCCUUGUUUUAAUUUUUUAUGAAUUUAUUUAUUUAAUUAAUAAUUAUUUGAUCGAUUUAAUUUUGUUAGUCAGUUAGUUGAUUUAUUUUCUUUUAUUUUAUUAAGUGGAUUCAUGUGAUUAUU
rnacentral:lncRNA from 1 species